AUUGAACGCUGGCGGCAUGCCUUACACAUGCAAGUCGAACGGCAGCACGGACUUCGGUCUGGUGGCGAGUGGCGAACGGGUGAGUAAUACAUCGGAACGUGCCCAGUAAUGGGGGAUAACGCAGCGAAAGUUGUGCUAAUACCGCAUACGCCCUGAGGGGGAAAGUGGGGGAUCGAAAGACCUCAUGUUAUUGGAGCGGCCGAUGGCUGAUUAGCUAGUUGGUGAGGUAAAGGCUCACCAAGGCGACGAUCAGUAGCUGGUCUGAGAGGACGACCAGCCAUACUGGGACUGAGACACGGCCCAGACUCCUACGGGAGGCAGCAGUGGGGAAUUUUGGACAAUGGGCGAAAGCCUGAUCCAGCAAUGCCGCGUGUGCGAAGAAGGCCUUCGGGUUGUAAAGCACUUUUAGUGAGGAGGAGGUCAGCGAGGUUAAGAGCCAUGUUGACGGACGUUACUUACAGAAAAAGCACCGGCUAACUCCGUGCCAGCCGCCGCAGUAA
rnacentral:rRNA from 1 species